UGAUGCGAUCAUACCAGCACUAAAGCACCGGAUCCCAUCAGAACUUCGAAGUUAAGCGUGCUUGAGCGAGAGUAGUACUAGGAUGGGUGACCUCCUGGGAAGUCCUCGUGUUGCAUUCC
rnacentral:rRNA from 1 species